AUUGAACGCUGGCGGCAGGCCUAACACAUGCAAGUCGAACGAGUGGCGGACGGGUGAGUAAUGUCUGGGAAACUGCCCGAUGGAGGGGGAUAACUACUGGAAACGGUAGAUAAUACCGCAUACCAUCGGAUGUGCCAAGAUGGGAUUCGCGAGUAGGUGGGGUAACGGCUCACAUAGGCGACGAUCCCUAGCUGGUCUGAGAGGAUGACAAGCCACACUGGAACUGAGACACGGUCCAGACUCCUACGGGAGGCAGCAGUGGGGAAGAUUGCAGAAUGGGCGAAAGCCUGAUGCAGCCAUGCCGCGUGGAUGAAGAAGGCCUUCGGGUUGUAAAGUACUUUCAGCGAGGAGGCGUUACUCGCACAGGAAGCACCGGCUAACUCCGUGCCAGCCGCCGCGGUAAUUC
rnacentral:rRNA from 1 species